GGGCAGAGGUUUGGGCAGGGCUGAUGUGAACACAAAUGUCAGUGACUGAGCCAGGCCCCAAGAACCCUACAGGAGAAUGUUCAGAGAGCCCCCUCUUCAUCCCAGUCAAUAAAACCCACCAAAGCCAGGAGGCUCCGGUUGAUGGUGGGAAUGGAGUUCUGGGCAGGUCUGCUUGGCCGCCCUCACCUCUCCCCGGGAAUCCCAAGUCACCUCUGGGAACCAAGAUGGAAACCAGAGAAAGCCCCCUGGUUUCUACAGGAAGCCCCCCAACAACACACAAGUCGUUAUGGAAGAGCACACCAUGCUCAGACAGGCCCCCACAGCAGAGUCUUCCAGACCACGCUGUCCUGGAGACCAGGGUCCGAGGACCAGGCUGCCCCUCGCCAGCUGCCACUUCAGCCUCGGUUUCCUCACCUGUGAUGGGAAGGACAGCCUCGGCGGAGCCUGUGACUGGCAUCUGGGUGGGCUUUGCACAACAUGAAGAAUUACUCAAAUGUACAGCCAAGGCCACCCCACAACCCCCUGUCCACAGAGAGCCCCACUUGUUCCUGGCAGUGAUUGGCCUCACCAGGGUAUCACUUUGAUUAGAUACUAAGUUUCCAUCUGUUACAGACAGGUUCAUUCUGAGUAUCGCAGCACUGCCAGGGACAAAAGCCACCUGCACGCAGUGAUGCAGACGCUCUGCACCUGUCAUGCAGGUUUUCAGGAGAAGCCGUCCAGGAACCCCCGAAGAACGGGCUUUCCCCAAGUCUGAGCAACACUCGCUUGCUGGGGCCAAGCAGAGGCUGGACCCCACCCCACCCACCCUCCAGUGUAGCUCAUACUGGGAGGAAUUUGCAGGGUCAGAUAACAGUAAUCUGACAGAUGCCACCUCACUUAAUGCCCCGAGUCAGAUGACUUGGUUUGCCCAGUUUGACAGAGAGGGAGGCCGGAUACCAGAGCUGUUGCAUAGUUGAUCUGAGGUCCCUCUGCUCCCAGGGGGACAGAUCUAGGAUGCCAAUCACACAUAUAAGAAGAAGACACUGUUUGGUAAGUGAGAAAAAUUCUCCGCACAGCCUAAUCCGAGGCUUACUGCACCAGCUGUUAAUGUGCCUCUUAGUAGAGUGUCGGUGGCUAUCAGAGGACCGGCCUGAGAUCACUUUACUGAGACCACAGCUCCCUCUGGUGGCCGCACUGUGGCUCUGCUCCUAAUUAACCAAAAAAAAAAAAGUUGCAUCCAGUGACCUGGGUGCGCAGGCCCCUUCGGGGCCUUUCAUUUACUUCGGGAGGAGUGUGACUCACGACGCAGCAUCUUUCUCUUUCCCCAAAGCGCGGGCGUGGGCCGGACGGGCACCUUCAUUGUGAUCGAUGCCAUGAUGGCCAUGAUGCACGCGGAGCAGAAGGUGGAUGUGUUUGAAUUUGUGUCUCGAAUCCGUAAUCAGCGCCCUCAGAUGGUUCAAACGGAUGUGAGUCAUGCCUUCCUCUUGCCCUGGUCUAGCUUCCCAAAGCAAACCUGAUGGCUUCGCCACACAGGUGUGCAGGGCCCUGGCUCUGAUGGGCAUGUGGCAACCAGCCUGGGCCUGGCCUGGCUUCCCUCCCCAUAGCCUUCCCUGCCCACGCGUGGGACCUCAGGGACUCCCUCGUCCUCAUCUUUCCCUCGUAUCCUCAUGUGAGAUGGGGCAAUCCUACUCCCCCACACGGUGCAUGUACACAGCGCGUGGCGUGCUCACCAAUGUGAGGCUCUGCUGCUACCGUUCUCCUUACUCAAGGGCAUAAAUGGUCAUUAUCCGUGGCCGGUACUCUGACUCUUGCCCCACACCUCCUUGUGUUGGCAAAAAGAGAAAAAGAAGAGAGCCGCCCCCUUUGGUCUGCCAAGCUCCACGUGGGCCAAGACUGCAGGGCAGAGUUGAGGGUGUGGGCACCCCUGGCCUCUCUGCAGAUGCAGUACACGUUCAUCUACCAAGCCUUACUCGAGUACUACCUCUACGGGGACACAGAGCUGGAUGUGUCCUCCCUGGAGAAGCACCUGCAGACCAUGCACGGCACCACCACCCACUUCGACAAGAUCGGGCUGGAGGAGGAGUUCAGGAAAUUGACAAAUGUCCGGAUCAUGAAGGAGAACAUGAGGACGGGCAACUUGCCGGCAAACAUGAAGAAGGCCAGGGUCAUCCAGAUCAUCCCGUGUAAGGCACCCGUGGCGUGGCUUGGGCAGGGCUGGGGCGGGGCUGGUGCCGGAGGCUUUCAUCCUGGAGAAGCCAUUGACCGCUUACCCCUGUGCACCAGGGUCAAAAGCAGGGUGUCCUCUGGCCUCAGGCUAAGGGCUCCUGUGUGCUGUACCAAAUGUCAGGUAGAAAAGACACCUGUGAAGCACCAGCUGACCCAGACAGUCCUGCAUGGGUCUCAGGCAAGCUGCUUGGGAUAUGAGCUUGCAGGUGCGGGAGGGCAGCCGAGGCUGAUUUCAGGGGAGGGCUUCACAGAAGCUGGAGAUUUGCGGCAGGCACGACUUGGGAUUCCUUGUCUCCCCAAGCCUGGGCAGAGGCCCGCCUCCCCCUUACACAGAGGGGCCUGAGCCACCCAGCCGAGGCCAUGCAGGUGAACUCAGCUGAGACCACCUAGGAAAAGGCUGUGGCCUUGAGGAGGACAAGAAAUGGGCCCAGGGUAGAGUCAGGACACUGGUCUGCCACCCAGGUCAUGGGAGAGGGAAGGAGGACCUGGCAGGUGUGGGAGGAGUGGAGGCAAAGCUGGCAAGAAGACAGGGCCACACGCAGUGGGCAGGGGAGUGGGAGUCGGGAGGCUCACCAAGUGGGAAAAAGAGAAACUUGAGAAACCCAGCCCAAAAGCAGACUCCACAGGGAUCCGAGGAACUAGGGAGGGAGGUGGGAGAUGCCCCGCUUGGGAGGAGGGUGUGCCUCAUUAUAGACGUGUCCUCGACGGAGUCACAGCUCAACAAACACCAUCUGGAAACAGCUGUGAGCAGGCCUGCUGCAGCAGGGUCUCCCCGAGCACUGCAGGCGAGUAGAGCUCCCCGGGGCCCUGCCAUCUUCAGACUCUGGCCCCUGGUUUUCUGGGGUCCCGGUGUCCUGCUGGCCACCUUAGAUUGCUUGCCUGGCCACAUUCCAUUUACUCCUUCAGUGCAAUAUUUUUAGUGCUUGUAUUUUGGUAUGUAUUAUAUCGAUUCCUGAAAAAUGAAAAUGAUAAUUGGGUUGUUUUCAGAGUUUUCCUUCAAAAAGAAAAAUACCCCUGAGCCACUUUAAUUAUCGUCUCUCAUAAUGUAAACUUUCCAAAGAGUUGGCUUUACCUAGUGAUUUUAUUAAUAGGAUCUAUAUUUUGCAAGCUUGUAGCAAUAGAUUAAAGUUAGCAAGGUGGGACCCUUUUUGUAAUAACUAAAGGAAGAUAAUGCUUUGCAGAUGACUUCAACCGAGUGAUCCUUUCCAUGAAAAGGGGUCAAGAAUACACAGACUACAUCAACGCAUCCUUCAUAGAUGUACGUAUGCUGGCCUGGGUUGUGUUUAUGCAGAUGUGUUUCCUUCACAUGUGACCACAGACUUGAUUAGCUUGUUUUCACAAUGAGAAAGAAUUGACAUGUUUCCAGAAACUCAGCCAUUUUUGUUAGCAGAAUUACUUGCUUAAAAAAAAAGUGGCAAGGCACGAUGGCUCACACCUGUAAUCCCAACACUUUGGGAAGCUAAGGCGGGCAGAUCACUUGGGGUCAGGAGUUUGAAACUAGCCUGGCCAAUAUGGCAAAACCCGUCUCUACUAAAAAUACAAAAAUUAGCUGGGUGUGAUGGCAGGUGUCUGUAAUCCCAGCUACUCGGGAAGCUGAGGCAGGAGAAUUGCUUGAAUCCGGGAGGCUGAGGUUGCAGUGAGCUGAGAUUACACCACUGUACUCCAGCCUGGGCAACAGAGCGAGAGCGAGACCCCCUCUCAAAAAAAAAAAAAAAA
rnacentral:sRNA from 1 species